rnacentral:rRNA from 1 species
AAUCAACGCUGGCGGCGUGCCUAACACAUGCAAGUCGAACGCGAAAGGAUCCUUCGGGGUCUGAGUAGAGUGGCGUCCGGGUGAGUAACGCGUAGGUAAUCUACCUUUGGGUGGGGAAUAACUCAGGGAAACUUGAGCUAAUACCGCAUAAUAUCGAAAGAUCAAAGCGGGGGACCGCAAGGCCUCGCGCCUGAAGAGGAGCCUGCGUCUGAUUAGCUAGUUGGUAGGGUAAUGGCCUACCAAGGCUGCGAUCAGUAGCUGGUCUGAGAG